rnacentral:rRNA from 1 species
AUUGAACGCUGGCGGCAGGCCUAACACAUGCAAGUCGAACGAGUGGCGGACGGGUGAGUAAUGUCUGGGAAACUGCCUGAUGGAGGGGGAUAACUACUGGAAACGGUAGCUAAUACCGCAUACCAUCGGAUGUGCCCAGAUGGGAUUAGCUAGUAGGUGGGGUAAAGGCUCACCUAGGCGACGAUCCCUAGCUGGUCUGAGAGGAUGACCAGCCACACGGGAACUGAGACACGGUGCAGACUCCUACGGGAGGCAGCAGUGGGGAAUGUUGGACAAUGGGCGCAAGCCUGAGGCAGCGAUGCCGCGUGUAGGAAGAAGGCCUUGGGGUGGUAAAGUACGUUCAGCGGGGAGGCGUUACCUGCAGAAGAAGCACGGGCUAACUCCGUGCCAGCAGCCGCGGUAAUUC